rnacentral:rRNA from 1 species
UACGUAGGGGGCGAGCGUUGUCCGGAGUACUGGGCGUAAAGCGCACGCAGGCGGUCUGCUAAGUUUGGAGUGACAGUUGGUGGCUUAACUGCCAAAAGUGCUUCGAAAACUGACAGACUUGAGGGCUUCAGAGGGACACGGAAUUCCGGGCGGAGUGGUGAAAUGCGUAGAGAUGUGGAGGAACACCUGUGGCGAAGGCGCCUUGCUGGCCGAUUUCUGACGCUGAGGCGCGAAAGCGUGGGGAGCAAACAGG